rnacentral:rRNA from 1 species
UACGGGGGGGGCAAGCGUUGUUCGGAAUUACUGGGCGUAAAGGGCUCGUAGGCGGCCAACUAAGUCGGAUGUGAAAUCCCCAGGCUUAACCUGGGAACUGCAUCCGAUACUGGAUGGCUUGAAUCCGGGAGAGGGAUGCAGAAUUCCAGGUGUAGCGGUGAAAUGCGUAGAUAUCUGGAGGAACACCGGUGGCGAAGGCGGCAUUCUGGACCGAUAUUGACGCUGAGGAGCGAAAGCCAGGGGAGCAAACGGG